GCUAUAGUGGUUCAGUCAGUGGUGCAUGAGACUCUUAAUCUCAGGGUUGUGGGUUCAAGCCCCACGUUUGGUU